AAUAAUUUUUUUUGGUCAUAAAAGUUGUUGUUCUCCAACUUGAAACAUGUUUUAGUCGAGGCUUUUCGCAUACAUUCGACACAGAGCACCUAAACAUCUACAGCCUUUGUGUGUGUACAAGGUUAACUUGUGUUUGUUUCUCAGGUGGUCAGAAGCAGAGGAUAGCCAUAGCCAGGGCUCUGCUCAAGAAUCCUAAGAUCCUGCUGUUGGAUGAGGCUACCAGUGCAUUGGAUGCUGAGAAUGAGUUCCUGGUCCAGGAGGCGUUGGAGCGUCUGAUGACAGGUAGA